AUAUGAAUCACCCAGGGAUCUUGUUAAUAUGCAAAUUCUGAUUCUAUAUGUCUGGCUCAGACCUGAGAUUUUGCAUUUCUAACCUGUUCCUAGGUGAUGCCUGU
rnacentral:pre_miRNA from 1 species